CCUACGGGGGGCUGCAGUAAGGAAUAUUGGUCAAUGGACGCAAGUCUGAACCAGCCAUGCCGCGUGGAGGAUGAAGGUCCUCUGGAUUGUAAACUUCUUUUAUUUGGGAAGAAACUCCCGAUUUCCAUCGGGAUUGACGGUACCAGAUGCAUAAGCACCGGCUACCUCCGUGCCAGCAGCCGCGGUAAUACGGAGGGUGCAAGCGUUACCGGGAUGCACGGGGGUGUAAGGGGGCAGGGGUGGGCAGGGAGAAAUCUCCGGGCUUAACCCGGAAACUGCCAUUGAUACUAUUUGUCUUGAAUACUCUGGAGGUGAGCGGAAUAUGUCAUGUAGCGGUGAAAUGCUUAGAGAUGACAUAGAACACCCAUUGCGAAGGCAGCUCACUACGGAAAUAUUGACGCUGAGGCACGAAAGCGUGGGGAUCAAACAGGAUUAGAUACCCUAGUAGUC
rnacentral:rRNA from 1 species